rnacentral:pre_miRNA from 1 species
UUUGGUACGGCUUAAGUUCAACUUUGGAGGAAAAACAUGGAUGUUAUGGUGCUUUAAGCCCUGCAACUUUAGUGCGGCUUAAGCACGACCCUUAAGCAUGCCAGUUUUUGAUUAAGCUGCAUCAAACUUUCAGGCUUAAGCACAGUAGCAUCCAUAUUUUUCCUCCAAAGUUGGGCUUAAGCUGUACCAAAG